rnacentral:rRNA from 1 species
UGAGCAACCUGCCCUUGACUCUGGAAUAACAGCUGGAAACAGCUGCUAAUACCGGAUACGACCUCCGAUGGCAUCAUCUGGAGGUGGAAAGCUCCGACGGUCGAGGAUGGGCUCGCGGCCUAUCAGCUUGUUGGUGGGGUAACGCCUACAAGGCAACGACGGGUAGCUGGUCUGAGAGGAUGGCCAGCCACAUUGGGACUGAGACACGGCCCAGAUCCGUAACGGGG